rnacentral:sRNA from 1 species
UCAUACUGAGAAGGUCUAAAAGCAAAUAAUUUUUUCAUUCUUUUCCACUUGAGUCAGUUUUUCACAGCAUGUACUGUGAUGGCAAUAGCAUUCCUAUUGAGAAAUUAUGAUUUAAAAGCUGCUUCUUUCUCUUUAAAACAAUAGUCAAGUUGAAUCAUUUUUGUUAAGACUUUUGUUGUCAAGUUAGUGCCAGAGUCACAAGUACAUUUACGUAGUACUUUGAUUUGCAUAUGGUUUGUUUUGCUAUGACCUUUGUCAACUCUAGUUGUUUUUUAAAGUAAAUAAUGUCUAUUAUUCUUAAAGUAGUUUUAUUCUGUUUUCCUUUUUACCUACCCUUAUCUAAAUCACCUUCUUGUAAGUUUGUCAAUGUCAGUGUCACUUUUGAGUAGAGGGUCACUAUAGUAUAAAAGAUACCUUCUCCCUCUACUGGCCAUUCUUGGAAAAUGAUCUAGCCAUUUAUAAACACUUGGUUAACAUUGUCAGUUGUAUAUGAGGAUGGAUUCUGGGUUUCCAGGACUGCCAGUCACUGGAAAUAAUCAUGAAAUGUUGAGAAGAAAUUCAGAGUUAGACAAUGGUAAACUAGGUGUAACCUACCAAAAAUAUGAAAAACAGAGACUUAUAAUUCUAAAACCAAUAAAUUAGGGUUUUUAAAUGGGGAUUCAAUUUAAAAUAUAUGUUUACAUUGAUUUACUUUCUUUUGGAAAAUAUUUCUGGGAAAUACAUAUACUCAGUGGAAAAUUAGAAAUAAGAAAGAAAGAAGGAAAUACAUUUAGACUCAUUUCCUGCUGCCAGAGAUUGUUUCUUAAAUUCUUUCAUGCUUAUAACAGUGUUCAAAAUAGUGUUUUUCAUAUGAACAUUGAAAAAUACUUAUGAACCAAGUAAAUUGAGAGCAGAGGCAGAAAUGUGCCUCUUCUAUGGUUCCUAAGAACAUGGGUCUUCAAUUUUGUAAAUCAAAAUAGUUAAUAAUAAUUGGUCAUUGAGAAAAGAAUUCACCUAAGUAGAUGGUACGUAUUCUGAUACUCAGUUGCAUUUUAUCUGGGAAGAAUAAAAAUGAGUUCCAUUUUAAAAUUACAUGUUUAAUAUAGGAAUCUUGCAACACAAUAUAGAAUAUUAACUGCCACAACCAAAUAACUGUGCAAUCAGGCAGAGUUUAAAAAUGUGAAGAUAUGUUUUUAAAUUGUAUACAAAUUUACCUAACAUGAUAUUUUUCGGCAUGCAUAUCUUUUUUCUUUUUCUUUUUUUAAGAGAGAAACUAUAUAAUAUAGCUUAUUACAUUUUAGGCAGUGUACUUCAUCUCAUUCUUAUAGGUAAAAGUGGGUAAUGAUAAAACUAUAGAGAAAUAACUUGACAUAAUUUCACAGUUUGACCCCCAAGGCUCACAUUUAACUUGUGCUGUGCAAACUAUUGCCAUAUGUGAAAAGGCCACUAGGGUUUUGAAGAUAAGCACAGUGAUGGUGCAGGAAGCAUGAUUCUUCAGGGCAUUUGAAUAGAGGAGCAGAGGAAUGACUUAAUUCGGUACUGGGCACAUGGUGCAGACUCCAAACCCUGUUUCCUUCCACAUGCCUCCUGCCAGUGCUUUGCCGUCAUGUUGUUGACUGGAAGCUGUUGCUCUGUUAACCUAGACACUGGCAAAUGAGUUUUGUUUUCAGGAGGUCUGAAUUAGAAUCAAGAGGAAAAGUAGUGCAAGGGAGAGGAAGGUUAUUUUCUCUACUUUGAUUUUGACUCUGACUGUAGAAUAAGGAUGCCUAUUUCCAACAGAGAAAAAUCGAAACCAUUAUGACUGAUUUCAUGUCAUUGAAAUCACCCAUGUUAUAACUAAAAAUAAAGUCCUCUAACAGCCUUCAACAAAGAUACCUAGUUAACAAGACAAUCAACUGAGAUUCUGUUUUUACUAUAAAUCUUAAUGUUUUCUGUUAAGGCCUUCAUUAAAACUGCAUUUGCUGGGAUUCUUUUCCUUUUAAUGUUAGGUAUGAAAAUAUAAAUAUGCUAGGGGCUAUAGAAAAGACAGUCAAAAUAGAGGAAAAAUACAGUUUUUGAAUUUGUCAAUUUCUAUUUUUUGUCAUGAACGAUGACUGAAUGACAUCUUCUAAGAAGUAAAAACUUAUUUUUAUUUACCUUCUAUGGAGUGUUUAUUCUGGUCAAUAUACUAUUGAGCAUGCUAUCUAAAUGAUACACAUAUAAUAUAAAUAUUUUCACCUUUUUAUGUCUGAGCAAACUGAGGCUCAAAGGGGUUAAUUAACAUGUUGUGGCCACACUAGUUAAGCCAGGGAUUCCAAACUUCAGUCUGUAUGAAUCCAAAGCACGUACUGUUUUCUCUGUAUGCUACUACCUACCUUUAUAUAGUCAGUGAGUUGAAAAUUAUCUGUAGAAUUCAAACCAAACUAUUUCAGGUUGGAGAAAGUAGGCAUUAAAAACUUGACGUUUUCUACUUUUUUCAUAUAUUUAACUUGAUGAUUUUUUUCUCUCAGUAGUUCAAAAUGAAAUAAUUGUCUAUCCAGAGAACACAGAAGACAAUAUGAAAAAUGGAGUGAAGAAAACAGAAAUCAAUGUAGGAGGUGUUGCCAAAAAUAACAACAUUGAUAUGGAAGUUGAGAGACCAUCAAACUCUGAGGCACAUGAAACUGAUAUUGCUAUAAGUUACAAGGAAAACCAUCUAGCAGCUUCAUCAGUACCAGAUCAAAAACUGAAUCAACCCAGUGCAGAAAAGACAAAAAUGCAAGAUGCAGCAAUUCAGACAACCCCUUCUUGUAACAGUUUUGAUGGGAAACACCAAGAUCAUAAUUUAUCUGACUCCAAAGUUGAAGAAUGUGUGCAAACUUCAAAUAACAACAUAUCAACUCAACACUCAUGCUUAAGUUCACAAGAUUCUGUAAAUACCUCAAGGGAAUUCAGGAGUCAAGGCACCCUAAUUAUACAUUCAGAAGAUCCGCUUACCGUAAAAGAUCCAAUUUGUGCACAUGGUAAUGAUGAUCUUUUGCCUCCUAUAGAUAGGAUUGACAAAAAUUCAACUGCUUCUUACCUAAAGAAUUACCCACUUUAUAGACAGGACUACAAUCCCAAGCCAAAACCUUCAAAUGAAAUUACACGAGAGUAUAUACCCAAAAUUGGCAUGACUACUUAUAAAAUAGUGCCUCCCAAAUCCUUGGAAAUAUCGAAAGACUGGCAAUCAGAAACCAUAGAGUAUAAAGAUGAUCAGGACAUGCAUGCUUUAGGGAAAAAGCACACUCAUGAGAAUGUGAAAGAAACUGCCAUCCAAACAGAAGAUUCUGCUAUUUCUGAAAGCCCAGAAGAGCCACUGCCAAACCUUAAACCGAAGCCUAACCUGAGAACAGAGCAUCAAGUGCCCAGUUCUGUGAGCUCACCUGAUGGUGCCAUGGUUAGUCCUCUGAAACCUGCUCCCAAAAUGACAAGAGACACUGGCACAGCUCCUUUUGCACCAAAUUUGGAAGAAAUAAACAAUAUUUUGGAAUCAAAAUUUAAAUCUCGGGCUUCAAAUGCCCAGGCCAAACCCAGCUCUUUUUUUUUGCAGAUGCAGAAGAGAGUAUCGGGUCACUAUGUGACAUCUGCAGCUGCCAAGAGUGUCCAUGCUGCCCCUAAUCCUGCUCCAAAAGAACUGACAAAUAAAGAGGCAGAAAGGGAUAUGCUGCCUUCUCCGGAGCAGACUCUUUCUCCCUUAAGUAAAAUGCCUCACUCUGUUCCACAACCCCUUGUUGAAAAAACUGAUGAUGAUGUCAUCGGUCAGGCUCCUGCUGAAGCCUCCCCUCCUCCCAUAGCUCCAAAACCUGUGACAAUUCCUGCUAGUCAGGUAUCCACACAAAAUCUGAAGACUUUGAAAACUUUUGGUGCCCCACGACCAUACUCAAGUUCUGGUCCUUCACCGUUUGCUCUUGCUGUAGUGAAAAGGUCACAGUCUUUCAGUAAAGAGCGCACCGAGUCACCUAGUGCCAGUGCAUUGGUCCAACCUCCAGCCAACACAGAGGAAGGGAAGACUCAUUCUGUAAAUAAAUUUGUGGACAUCCCACAGCUUGGUGUGUCUGAUAAGGAAAAUAACUCUGCACAUAAUGAACAGAAUUCCCAAAUACCAACUCCAACUGAUUGCCCAUCAUUCACUGUUAUGAGACAAAGUUCUUUAACAUUCCAAAGCUCUGACCCAGAACAGAUGCGACAGAGUUUGCUGACUGCAAUCCGUUCGGGGGAGGCUGCUGCCAAAUUGAAAAGGGUUACCAUUCCAUCAAAUACAAUAUCUGUGAAUGGAAGGUCAAGACUCAGCCAUUCCAUGUCCCCUGAUGCCCAGGACGGCCGUUAAAUGUUACCCUGCCACACCACUGCACUUCACUUCCACUUCAGACCAACUUCAUACUAAUGGAACAUUUUGGCAAAUGUAUAUUCAGAUGUACACUAAUAUAUUAUCUAUUAAAAUAUUAGAAUUUG